rnacentral:rRNA from 1 species
GGUGGUAAUGCCGGAUGCUCCAUCACACCGCAUGGUGUGUUGGGAAAGCCUUUGCGGCAUGGGAUGGGGUCGCGUCCUAUCAGCUUGAUGGCGGGGUAACGGCCCACCAUGGCUUCGACGGGUAGCCGGCCUGAGAGGGCGACCGGCCACAUUGGGACUGAGAUACGGCCCAGACUCCUACGGGAGGCAGCAGUGGGGAAUAUUGCACAAUGGGCGCAAGCCUGAUGCAGCGACGCCGCGUGAGGGAUGGAGGCCUUCGGGUUGUAAACCUCUUUUAUCAGGGAGCAAGGCUUCGGUUGAGUGUACCUGUUGAAUAAGCACCGGCUAACUACGUGCCAGCAGCCGCGGUAAUACGUAGGGUGCAAGCGUUAUCCGGAAUUAUUGGGCGUAAAGGGCUCGUAGGCGGUUCGUCGCGUCCGGUGUGAAAGUCCAUCGCUUAACGGUGGAUCCGCGCCGGGUACGGGCGGGCUUGAGUGCGGUAGGGGAGACUGGAAUUCCCGGUGUAACGGUGGAAUGUGUAGAUAUC